rnacentral:rRNA from 1 species
CCUACGGGUGGCUGCAGUGGGGAAUAUUGCGCAAUGGGCGAAAGCCUGACGCAGCGACGCCGCGUGGGUGAUGAAGGCCUUCGGGUUGUAAAGCCCUGUCGGGUGGAACGAACGAUCUGGCGGCGAAUAACCGCCGGGUGUGACGGUACCACCGAAGGAAGCCCCGGCUAACUACGUGCCAGCAGCCGCGGUAAGACGUAGGGGGCGAGCGUUGUUCAAGUUUACUGGGCGUAAAGCGCGCGUCGGUGGCGAAAUCCCUCGGCUUAACCUGGGAACGGCAUCCGAUACUGUCUGGCUCGAGUCGAGGAGAGGAAAGCGGAAUUCCCAGUGUAGCGGUGAAAUGCGUAGAUAUUGGGAGGAACACCGGUGGCGAAGGCGGCUUUCCGGACUAGUACUGACGCUGAGGCGCGAAAGCUAGGGGAGCGAACGGGAUUAGAUACCCUGGUAGUC